rnacentral:tRNA from 1 species
GCCCAGGUGGCGGAAUUGGUAGACGCUGUACCUUGAGGGGGUAUUGUCCUUACGGACGUGCUGGUUCAACUCCAGUUCUGGGCACAA